GACGUAGGGCGCGAGCGUUGUCCGGAUUUAUUGGGCGUAAAGAGCUCGUAGGCGGCUUGUCGCGUCGGCUGUGAAAUCCCGUGGCUCAACUGCGGGUCUGCAGCCGAUACGGGCAGGCUAGAGUUCGGUAGGGGAGACUGGAAUUCCUGGUGUAGCGGUGAAAUGCGCAGAUAUCAGGAGGAACACCGGUGGCGAAGGCGGGUCUCUGGGCCGAUACUGACGCUGGAGAACGCGAAAGCUAGGGGAGCAAACGGG
rnacentral:rRNA from 1 species